rnacentral:rRNA from 1 species
UACAGAGGGUGCAAGCGUUGUUCGGAAUUACUGGGCGUAAAGCGCACGUAGGCGGCGAUUCAAGUCAGAGGUGAAAGCCCGGGGCUCAACCCCGGAACUGCCUUUGAAACUAGAUUGCUAGAAUCUUGGAGAGGUCAGUGGAAUUCCGAGUGUAGAGGUGAAAUUCGUAGAUAUUCGGAAGAACACCAGUGGCGAAGGCGACUGACUGGACAAGUAUUGACGCUGAGGUGCGAAAGCGUGGGGAGCAAACAGGG